AAAUAUAUGUUGGACUUUGUGAGUAUUUCUUAUUUAACAUUGAAACAUACAUUAAAGUGUGUUAUUUUGUGUGCUUCUGUGAAUUUAUUCUAGAAUUCUUUGUGUUUUCGACAUUUUUGAUGAUAAAAAUUAAGAAAUCAUUAUUUUUUUUUUCGAUUUUUACAUUAAUUGCUCAUUAUCUACGAGCCGCAUGGCCGCAAUUUACUUGAGAUUAGAACUCAUGCUAGCAUGAUUUGAAAUUUCGUGCAUAAACAAAUGAUCAAAUCUUUUGUUAAUAUAUUACGUUUUUUCGAUAAAAUCAAUAGACACGCACUAAAAUGCACAUCAUAACAAAUCGAAAUCUGUUAUAUUUGCUAAGCUUUGUGUGCGGAAACCAAUGGUCAACGGUUCUAAAAUGACGUAAAGUCCCUCAACUAUGGCGACCUCCCCAAAGGCCCUAAUCCACCACCACCUGAUAUGUUGAAUCCACCUUGGCAACGCACCCCAUCCCGUGCUAGAACGGGACAAGUUCAACAACAACUGUCAUCGUUUUUUCCCGAUUCACUUUACACUUUCCGUGGUCAGAUGCGCUUUCCGUGCUCAGAUGCGCUUUCCGUGCGCGGCCGUGUAGCGGUGGAGUAAUUGCGCGAUGGGUGUUGUGGAUCGUACGUACUGCUGCUGCUGCUGGAAUUGUCGUAAGGAUGGCUGCUACCGGUGGCAUUCGGCCGUCCUAGCAGCUGCUCAUAGACACCGCUGUGCUGCUGCAGGAUGCCCUGGUCCUGCCCAUCCCAACAUCGUCCUCACCGCAAUCGGUCACCCAGAUUGAGGCUCCAGCGGUGGAAGUAGUAGGAGCACAUUCUCCAAGCCGAUUGGGAUUUUCCAAGCCUGGUUCUCGGUGUACCAUCCUCCUGAUGUUCCGCUGGCCGAUCCUCAUCAAAUGUACGUGUAGCUUCGUUGAGCAAACGCUUGGUGUCCCACUGACCGUCCUCUUUGGUUAGGCCGCUGGUGAGUCUGACAACACCAGAGGCCAACAUCCAGUGGCGCCACGAGGAGGCAGAGGAUCGGAUUUGGCCACCGUCCCAGCAUCGGGCUGUUCCUUCACGGCGCCUUAUACUGGGGUGACUUACACGUCACUUUACGAAAGCUGGAACGAAGAGAGAGAGAGAGAGA